UGAGGAAGGCGCGGUCACCCAGUAAGGCGCAAUCGAACAGUUCGCCCUGGUUCAUGUCCCGGAGAAGCUUGGCCCGGCCUGUCUGUUUGUCCAUUCCAUAGCGAGCUAAUAUGGGCGACAACAAUUUGCAGUGAUAGUUGGAAAGGCCCAUCACCUUUACCAGUUCCGUGUUCUUCUUGGGUGCCCCCGUAACCCCGAGCAGCGCGUUCCGCAGCAGGUUGUGUAGCACUACGUCCGGGUCGGUCACCUCCUCAACCCCCAGCAGCUGUUGCUGCUCGUGCCGCUGGCCGCACUCGGUACACUCGAUGCUGACAGAACCGGAGGCCGGGAAAAAUAGACGCGCCUGACACUUCGGAUCCGGGCAGCUCCCGGAAAGGAUUCUCCGGUCUCUCCGCUUCAAAAGCCCCCCCGAAGCAGCCGCCGACGCCAAGGACGACGGAGUCUGUGGAGCCUCAGCUCUCGUGUCUCGCUCCGCGUCCCAGGCGACCCUCAAAAGCUCAUAGCCCAGACCCCCACCAACCCGACUCGGUCCAGUCCAGGCCCAGGGCGAAGCACUUUCCUUUCCCUACCAGCUCUUCCUCCUCCUAAGCGAAGGCGGAAGCGCCGGACGUUGUUUCUCUUCUUACUUCUCCACUGCCGUAGCCGUUGCCCCGAACGUAACGGCCGCGCAGGCGCAGCUUCCGCUCUGCCCUCUGGGAAUUAGAGUCUUCCA
rnacentral:lncRNA from 10 species